rnacentral:lncRNA from 1 species
UACUUUUUGCCAAAAGUAAUCAAAAUGAUUUGAAACAAAUGGUUGUUCAGAUCAAUGCAUAGGUAUUAUGGUGUAAAUACAAAGAAUUACGCAAAUAAAAUGAACCACUAAUCGUAUAAAUAUCUUUCAAAUAAUCUAUUGAAAAAUAACAAUACAAAAAAUCCCAAAUCAAAUUGUUCAAUGCCAUCCAUACGGUACCUUCUCGAUCAUAGAGGCAUACAUUUCUCAAACCCAUAGCCGCCAGCCACCGCAGUAGCUCAAGAACAUUCUGACUGUCACGAGCUUCAUCACUGUCCAGAACAACAGCCAUGUACUUAACUUUACUAAGGUCCUUGAAAGAAAUUGAACAACAGGCUUCUAUCCUCAAAAUAAUAAAGCAAAAAAAAAAAAAAUCUCCAAAAACUUAAAAGAAAAAGAAGUAUCCUCAAAUCCUUUUACAUUUCUCUACUAUUAUGAAAGGGAAAAAACAUCAUUACCUAUAUCAUGUCGAAGUGCAGCUAACUACACCUGAACAGCAAGAAAACACAUCUCAACUAUUACGAUGUUAGCAUAAAAUUAAUAACAUAACAACAUAUUAGUAGCUUCAUAGAGCUUAAAAGCUUAAUAAAAGACCAUAUGGCAUCCGCACAACAACUCAAUUCACAAUCAUCUUCAUUUGGAAGUAAAAAGAGAAAACAUCUAGUCCUCAAGGGUAAUGACAUACAUUCAUGCCAUGAACAAAGUAAUUUGCAAGAAUGAUAUAGUGAUCAAAUUGAAAUUAAAUAAAAUGCUUUAGUAUGAUUACAGUCGUGCUCAUCAUACCAGCAGCAUAUUAGAACGAACCCAUGAUCACCAAAGCCAAGUAUGUGUGUGCCAAUCAAGCAGAAAAACCAUUUAAAGAAAUAGAGAACAAAAAAUCAGGAGAAAGGACAACAAAAUCACCAAGAAACAUGGGCAUUAAAGCAACUGGUCUUUUAUCAAUCUGUAUCAGAAUACUUGCCUAGCUUCCACUAUCAGAAACUGAAAUAAAUGAAAGAACAAAGAAUAACCUAAACUCAAGACUUUGGAACCACCAGAAGCUUUAAUACUACAUAACAAAGUUUCUCCUGAAUAAUAACAAAAUAGGCAUCUCUCCAUCUCUUAUUCAACACUAAUGCACUGCAUACCAUUGAAAAUCCCACUGCAUAACCCAAAGACACCAACCUCCUCGACGAUUAGUCUCUCUCUACAUAAUUAUUAAAUAAAAAUGCUGAUAGAAUUCGGCUCAUAAGGGAUCCGCUACUUGGAGAGUUUACCUGUUUGUGUGAGACUCUACUUUCACUUGUGAGAGCCCGGGGUGGCUACCUUGUUCGUCGAGACAGAGGAGUCUCCGACGACGGCACAGGGACAGUGGCGAGUCGGGGAGGCAAGGUUGAACGACUGUGAAUUAAAGCAAUCACAUAGAGUUAAUUAACAAAAUCCAACCAAAAAAUCUGAAAAAAUAUAAAUGAAAAGGUGAAUCGCAGACAAACAGCAAUAGAAGAAGAAGAAGAAGAAGCUUACCGCCACGACGAAUUGUAAAAACACGAUUGUGGCGUUAAUAAUUCAAGGUAAUGAAUUUAUAGAUAAAAACCUAGGGUUUAAGUUUCCUUUGUUAUAAAAAUUAGAAUCCUACCUGGCGCGCAACUGGCGGACUGCUCUGGUCGCGACGGGCAGGGCGGCGCGACGGCGGCUAAGGCGGUGCGGCGGGGUCUUGUCGCGCCCCAGAGGACCGGACUGCAGCGAAUCGAAGCGCGCAACUGGCGGACUGCUCUGGUCGCGAGGGCUUGGGCGGCGCGACGGCGGCUGAAGGCGGUGCGGCGGGGUCUUGUCGCGCCUCAGAGGACCGGACUGCAGCGAAUCGAAGCAGGAGAUGAGAGUCUGUGAAAUUAGGAUUUGAGAAUUUUGGGAGAUCGCAGCGGUGGGAGGGGCGGGGCGCGGUGGGGUAGAUUGCGGCGGCGGGGGAGGGGAGAACCGGAUGUGAGAGAUGGUUGAAGGGGAAUUGGUUUUAGGGUUUGGAAGUGGGGUAGAGAAAUAUUAGAUUUUAUAUUUUUUAAAAUAAAAUAAGUGAUGUGGAUGCAUAUUGCCAUGUCAGCGAUACAGAAUUGAGCUAGAAGCUCUAGAAUUGCAAGGAUUUUAAUUCUUGAAUUCUUAGACAUGCCACAUAGGACCCCGGAUUAAGGAGAAGCCAGGAAUCCUUAAUCGUAUUAUAUAUUGAUU